CCAUGUUUGUUUCACGUCCUGUCAGUAUUACAACCUUUCUAUAUAUAUAUAUAUAUCAUCUUUUAACUGGUGUCACACGGUAAAAUUAGCAUUAAUCUAUGUGUAUAAAUCGUUAAUUUAAUCUCUUUUAGUUUAUAAAUGUUAAAUAAAUGCUCAAAAGAGCUCGGUGUGUAGCGUUUAAAUGGCAUGAUGUAACUAAGGAGAAAUGAGCAUCGUGUCAAAAAAAAAACAACAGUUUAAGUUGUAAGCUAGCUCCAUCUGUGGCCUUCAACCACCUUAACAUCAGCAAAAAUAGCGAUAAAAAUACAAGCGUAAACAUGUAUUUAAUCAACAAGACUUUAAUAUAAGCUAUUUAACCAACUACACGGUGUUUACUGUGACUAAGUAGUUUUUUUGACGGACGCGGAGCUACCUGGCUAAGCUAAACGUUAGCCUCCCUGUCAUGCUCGCUGCUUGUAAUAAACUAAUAAUUCCCAUUUUACAGAUAACACCAAACGCAUCGCGGGGCUCUGAAGUGAAGCCGGACUCUGCAGAGGAUCAACACAUUCAGGGUUGCUGUAUUUGAUCAUCACUUCAAGCAGAGUGAGAGCACCCACCUCCCAGCUGGAGUGAA